AUCCAGCUGAAUAGUCCCAAAUAGGACGAAAAGCGCGUCCUGGAU
rfam:Schistosoma rodhaini strain Burundi genome assembly, scaffold: SROB_scaffold0009436